AGGCCAUCCUGCGCUCUCAGCCUCCGCCCUUUGUCUGUGGCUUUGUGAUGCUGUGGAGACAGAGAGGCUGGGAGGUGUUCACCAACCCCAGUGCUGGCAGCCAGGAGGCAGGGAAGCUGGGAUCUUCGCCCAAGCCAACCGCAGCCACCAGGAGGAGUGAUCACUAAUAAAUACUUGGAAGGUG